GAUGAAGAACGUAGCGAAAUGCGAUAAGUAAUGUGAAUUGCAGAAUUCAGUGAAUCAUCGAAUCUUUGAACGCACAUUGCGCCCGCCAGUAUUCUGGCGGGCAUGCCUGUUCGAGCGUCAUUUCAACCAUCAAGCCCCAGGCUUGUGUUGGGGACCUGCGGCUGCCGCAGGCCCUGAAAACCAGUGGCGGGCUCGCUGUCACACCGGGCGUAGUAGAUUUUAUCUCGCUCAGGGCGUGCUGCGGGUCCCGGCCGUUAAACCACCCUUUUAACCCAAGGUUGACCUCGGAUCAGGUAGGAAGACCCGCUGAACUUAAGCAUAUCAAUAAGCGGAGGA
rnacentral:misc_RNA from 1 species